rnacentral:lncRNA from 1 species
CACACACACACACACACACACACACAAAUUCGUGACCUGGAUAUUUAGGAAAAGAAGAAAGGUAAGGAUGGGAAAGCCACAUUAGUGGCAGUCCCUGCACUGGGGGAAAUCCUUUCUAAUACCAUUGUUAUGAAUCAUAAUUAAUCGUGAUUAGUAGCAACAGUAGGGACACAUGCUUAAUCUUCCAAUGGGAAAAGCAGACAUAAUGUACCUACAGACACUCUGUGGGCCUAAGUCCACAAAGACAGAAAACAGCUCAGAAAAGAGAUUUCACAAUUUUUUGAGGCAAAAUAAUGAACCCAACCAAUUUCAGAAAUGGUAGUGUGGUAAGUUAUUUUGUGUGCUUUUUCAUUUGUCUUUGUGAUGGGCAGGGUUGACUCUGGACAGCUUUCUCCCCUACAGUGGCACUGAGCUGCCUGAUAUUACUUUAGUGAGCACAGCACAGCAGCAUCAUGGUUGUCCCCUCCAUGGCCUACAGAAACACUUCACUUUGUUCCUGGAGGCCCCUCAGGCUUGCUAGCUACAGUGUGGAGAGCAGCCCUGGAAGGGAGCCCAGGAGGUAAGAACCCAUGGUACAGCCAGUGGGAAACUGAAGCCCCAGUUUAUGGCCUACAAUGAGCCAAAUCCUACCAAUGAUGGGGUGUGGGAUAGGGGGUUGCUGUCUGCACCCUACCCUGGUCUCCACUGCAGAUGAAACUGCAGCCACAUACAGGCGCUUGGAUGGUCUUCUACACUGUUAAAUCUUGGGAUUUUUAUUGCUCAGGACUGGAACACACCACUUCUGUCACAGGAUUGUUAAUCCAGAAGGAACCUAAAGUACUACCUAGGUAGGGGAAGGUGAGGCACUGUCACUUCAGUCACACAUGAAGUUGUGUCAUUCAAAACCCACCUUAAUGUUGAGUGUGAUCUUAGAAGUUUCCCACAGAGCUACCCCCACUCCCCCAUCCUCAAUUAAUUAUUUGGAGGUUAAAAAGAAGCCCACCUGCUCCCCAGAACAGUGUGAGAGAAGGAGAGACAGGAGUAAGAUAACCUAACCUCUACCUCAUUGGUCAACAUUCUGGGAAAGUCAUUCGGCCUUGGCCAACUUCACUUUCCCCUUUGCUAAAGCCAAGAUAAUCUGUGUGAACAUGUGAACUAAAGCAGCCUAAAGGGUGUUGAUGGGGUCUCUUGACAUCUUCUCAAAUAUUUGAAAAAGCACAAUCAAUAACAUAGCAAAAGAUUGUGUUCAAAGAAUAUGAAAGCACAGGACAGAUACAAGGAGUGGUGGCUCCCUUCACUAGAGCGGUCACCUGCAGUAGGAACUGCCAAGGCUUUCUUCUAUAAAUCAAUGAGGAGGAGGAGUUGGUUGCUAGAUUGUAGAGUGUGGGUGGUUGUCUGUUUUGAUUAACAGGCUUAGGUCAUAUAAGCCUUAGUUUAUUCCACAUGUCCUUUCCCUUGAUCUGGCGUUAAUCAAAUGCCCGUCCAAUCAUGCCUAGGCCUAAGAUUGCAAAUAGAGAAUUUCCACCUGC